rnacentral:rRNA from 1 species
GCACUUUAAGCAGUGAAGAAGACUCUUCGGCUAAUACCCGGAGACGAUGACAUUAGCUGCAGAAUAAGCACCGGCUAACUCUGUGCCAGCAGCCGCGGUAAUACAGAGGGUGCAAGCGUUAAUCGGAAUUACUGGGCGUAAAGGGAGCGUAGGUGGCUCUAUAAGUCAGAUGUGAAAUCCCCGGGCUUAACCUGGGAACUGCAUCUGAAACUGUAGAGCUAGAGUAUGUGAGAGGGAGGUAGAAUUUCAGGUGUAGCGGUGAAAUGCGUAGAGAUCUGAAGGAAUACCGAUGGCGAAGGCAGCCUCCUGGCAUAAUACUGACACUGAGGCUCGAAAGCGUGGGUAGCAAACAGGAUUAGAUACCCUGGUAGUCCACGCCGUAAACGAUGUCUACUAGUCGUUGG